rnacentral:lncRNA from 1 species
CGCCCUUAAUUUUUGCCUAUCCCCGUUGGGGUGGGAAACUUUAGCUUCAGGUGAUAGGUGAGGUGAUCGCCUUGAUUCCUCCUAAAGUUGGUCGCCCCAAGAUGGCGUUAUAGGGCGAGGGGCAAUCUACCACAAUAAAAUCCUGCAUAGUGGUCUGGUGGGGUUCAGUUCCCAGAGUUAUCGGUAAGUUGAUCCAUCCCAAGGGGUGCGUCGUAUUCCCUCCAAAUCCGAUCAGGGGGGUAUGGAAAGGGUGCAACUGGUCCAGCCCAAUUUUUUUUUUCGAACGCUGAGAUGAACAAGAUGUCCGCCGAGCUCCCGUUGUCGAUUAAAUCCUCGCUGGACGUUGAAAUUGGCGAUGACGGCCGAGACAACCAAGGCAUCGUCGUGGGGUAGGUGUAAGCCUCUCAAAUCAUCACUACUGAAGGUGAUGGGUGUUUGGUCAGCAACAAAUGAUGAGAGGUUGUAGAUUUCUUCCUCGGCCAGCCUAUGGGAACUUCUGGCAUGCCUUUUCCUGGAUGAAGUCGAAUAACCGCCCGAUCCAAAACCUCCAUGGAUUAUUUGUAUAUCGCCCGCAGUUGGUCUGUUAUUGCCGUACCUUCUUUCUGGGGAGUUGGGCGGUGGGCGAGUAGCGACAUAUUUUCUCAGGUAACCCCUUUUAAUGAGGUCGGCAAUUUAUUCUUUCAGUUGAAAACAGUCUUCAGUAUUGUGUCCGUGGUCUCGGUGGAAUUCAUAAUAUUUGUUCCUGUUCCUUCUCUAGGGGUCAGUCUUGAUCUUUUCGGGCCAUUUGACGAAUUUUUCGUGCUUAAUUUCCAAGAGUACUUGGGCAACAGGGGCGUUGAGUGGCGGUAGAAUAAACUCAGGUUGGUGAGAUGGAGUGCGAGGACACCUAUCGCUAGACCGUUUGGGAUCUCGGUCAGGUCUCUUGUACCUCGUUUCAUCCCUGUAAUUAGCCCGCCUUGUAUCAGGCUCUUUCCUCUUAUGAUCAUCUUUUCCUCAUCGCCUUCGUUUGGCCUCGACUAACUCCUCUACGGCGAUAUACUUGUCGGCUUUGCUCUGGAGUGCAGAUAAAGUUUCGGGAACGUUUUUGGAAAGGGAGUAGAACAGCGGACCAGGUCGGAGUCCUUCCAUCAUUGCCAUGAUUAUUACUUUGUCGCUGGGAUCUUUAACUUCUGAUAUGGCCUGAUUGAAUCAUUUCAUGAAAUCUUUCAAGCUCUCAGUCUCCUUUUGGUGAACGGUGAACAGGUGGGAAGCAUUCUUUUGUCGAUUUCUGCAGUUCAUGAAAUUGGCGACAAAGAGUCGACUGAGCUCGCUAAAAGAGUCACGAUUCCUGGCGAUGUUUUCGAAACCACGGACCUGGCCGGGUCCUUUCAAAGUGGCGGAGAACCGCUUUGCACAUAAUCUUAUCCGAGCACCCAUGGAGAGAAAUUAGACUUUUGUACGAGUCCAGGUGAUCCAUCGGGUCUGUCUUUCCUUCAUAAAUGCGAGCUGGGUUAGGGAGCUUGAUUCGAAGAGAUCCGAGCUCUUAAUAACCUUUUAGUUGAAUGGCGGAUCUGUCUGUCUGACAGAGUGUCCACAGUUAUUGGAGCAUUGUCCAGUGUUAAUGGCCGUCGAGCCAGUGAGUCCCAAAUUCUCGAAUCUUCAUGCCGAGGUGGAUGGUUUCGUGCUCGAUUGCUCGCCUCAUGGGGGACUCCUCCCCCUUCUCCCUUGGCUGAGUUUGACUAGAUUCUGAAAGAGGGGAACUCCUUUCUGUAGACAGACUUGAUGCUCGGCGCCUACCCUUGCUCGUUCGGUAAGGAUGUUGUGAAAAACGAUCUUCCGAACGAUAGAGUGUGACGAGAUCGCUCGAUAUCAGGGAAGGAUGGUGCUGACUGGAAGUUGGGGGUUUGAAAGCGUGUGAGGAGUUGCAUUAGGCGGACCAUUAUUCUCGUUCAUGAUCCUCAUUCUGCUCGGCCAUAUCGGGAUCUCACGGUGGAGGGCCUGUCUAGAUUCUGGAACUUGGCCUGGGUUGGCCAUAGGAUGGGAUCUGUUACCGGGGGGCUAUGGCACUCGGUUGGGUAGGUUGUGACUACGCACAAGGGCAUAGAAGAUCGAGAACUGUCGUUCCCAUAGACGGACGCCAAACUGUUGUGAUAAAACUCUGGGCAGCAAGAACCAACAGUCAAUAUGGCUCGGUCUCUUCGGCAGGACCUUAAAGGCGUGAAGAGCGGACCUGCACAGACGAACCGAAAGUAAACGGCCGGGGCGAGGCCGCUCAAAACCCCUCGCCGUGGAGUCAGACCAAGGCGAGGAGACAGCAAGUAAAAAGAGCUCAGAGGAGAGUUGUAGAGUAUGUGAGCGUACCUUUGUUUAAUGGGGGAGCGGCAUUUUAUAGACGAGAGUAAUGGGCCGUUCAUGAUUCACGGCGAGAUCCUCGGAUGGAUAAGUAUGGAAAAGAUAUCUCAGAGAUGUAAGAGACAUAAUGGGAGGAUUGCCAUCUGGAGAGAGUAUCCCGUAAUUGUGGUUGCCCUUAGAGGAGAAAUCUCGCGAAGGGCCGUAUAGAUAGGAAUCUGGUGGAGAUCGAUCAAGCCAAGUAUUACUACCUCCCCAAGGGCGAGGAGAAGACAGCACUUUGGCCUCUGGGUGAAGUCAGUGGAAUAGCUUGGGCGAGUUCCAUGCUUAACGUUGGAACUCGUUUUUACCUGUCAAGAGGGUUCGAGCUAAGUAAUCGUUUGGGGAGUCAUAUGGGGCGACCAGUUCUGUGAUGGUGCUAGGAUCGACGUACCUAGCCGUUAAUCGUGGUGUAAUUUAUCCCACAAUCAAAGGACAAAUAAAGACAACAAUAAUUUUAUUUCCAUCGAUUUAGUCCUCCACGAUGAGUUGCUGGAACGGAUUUUAGCAAAAAAUGGAACGAGAUUGUGCAUUCCAAAAGGUUCUUGCUCAAAUUCUCGAGCACUUUUUUGCAAACGAGAUUGUGCAUUACAAAAGGUUCAUGCCCAACUUCUCGAGCACCCCACCACCGAAGCCUUGGUAUUUCAUGCUCACCGGCUCUGAUGAGCUCAUGGGGUGUGCUUACGACCCAACACUUCACAAAAUGGUACAACUUCGAACUCCCCUACGUCGACCCAAUUGGGCGAUUUCUUCGUCUUUUACAGGGCGAAGCGGCCAAGGGAGGCCAUGGCCACCCCCGCUUCCAAGAACCCAUAGGUAGUAGUGUUCAUC